UACAGAGGUCUCAAGCGUUGUUCGGAUUCAUUGGGCGUAAAGGGUGUGUAGGUGGCGCGCUAAGUCGGGUGUGAAAUUUCGGAGCUUAACUCCGAAACUGCAUUCGAUACUGGCGUGCUUGAGGACUGGAGAGGAGACUGGAAUUCAUGGUGUAGCAGUGAAAUGCGUAGAUAUCGUGAGGAAGACCAGUGGCGAAGGCGGGUCUCUGGACAGUUCCUGACACUGAGGCACGAAGGCCAGGGGAGCAAACGGG
rnacentral:rRNA from 1 species